CAGGGCAGGAAGCCAACAAGAUGUAUCAAUAUCACACCAUCCAGCUUCUUUGGGAGAUUCACGUUGGCUUGAAAAGGUCGUUCAGGCAUUUAUUUCUUGUGUUACGACUGGUAAUGUUAAGGUCCAAUGGAAUGUUUGUCACGCUUUGAGCAACCUGUUUCUGAAUGAGACAUUAAGACUGCAAGACACGGAUUGGGCUUCAUCUGUAUUUAGUAUUCUACUACUACUAUUACGUGAUUCUUCGAACUUUAAGAUCAGGAUCCAAGCUGCUGCUGCUCUGGCGGUGCCAGCAUCAG